rnacentral:rRNA from 1 species
GAUGAACGCUGGCGGCGUGCCUAAUACAUGCCAGUCGAACGGACAGACCCUGCUCUUGUUGCUUGCUCGUGUGCGGCACGCGUGUGUAUCACGUGUGUAUACUGCCCUUGUCUUUGGGGUAACUUCACGAAACUCGGGCUCAUAUACGAUAGGAGCUCCUGAUGCAUGGUGUGCGUUGGUAAGUUUCGGCGGUUGGGGCUGGACUAGCGGCAUAUCAGCUUCUUGGUGGGGUAGUGGCUUAACAGGGCUUUGACGGGUAGCCGGCCUGAGAGGGUGACCGGACACAUUGGGACUGAGAGACGGCCAAGAGUCCGACGGGAGCCAGCAGUGGGGAAUAUUGCACAAUGGGCGGAAGCCUGAUGGAGCAACGCCGCGUGCGGGAUAACGGCCGUCGGGAUGUAAACCGCAUUCGCCAAGUACGAAGCGUGGGUGACGGUAUAGGGUAAAGAAGAACCGGCUAACUACGUG